GACGAACGCUGGCGGCGUGCUUAACACAUGCAAGUCGAACGAAGUGGCGAACGGGUGAGUAACGCGUAAUCAACCUGCCCUUCAGAGGGGGACAACAGUUGGAAACGACUGCUAAUACCGCAUACUGAAGGAGGGGAUUGCGUCUGAUUAGCUAGUUGGGGGGGUAAAGGCCCACCAAGGCGAUGAUCAGUAGCCGGUCUGGGGAGAUGGACCGGCACAAUGGGAACGGGGAACGGCCCAGACUGCUAAGGGAGGGAGCAGUGGGGAAACUUCCGCAAAGGACGAAAAUCUGGCGGAGCAACGGCGCGUGAGUGAUGACGGCCUUCGGGUUGUAAAGCUCUGUUAAUCGGGACGCGGUACCGGAAUAGAAAGCCACGGCUAACUACGUGCCAGCAGCCGCGGUAAUUC
rnacentral:rRNA from 1 species